GCGCGAAACCUUCGCAAUGCGCGUAAGCGUGACGAGGGAACUCUGAGUGGUAUUAGCUCUUGCUAAUGCCUUUUGCCUAGUGUAAAUUCGAGUUGCACACCAACUCGUUAUCAAGCUAGGAGAAUAAGGGUGUGGGCAAGACUGGUGGCAGCCGCCGCGGUAACACCAGCGCCUCGAGUGAUACCCACGAAUAUUGGGCCUAAAGCGUUCGUAGCCGGUCCUGUAAGUCCGCUGUGAAAUAUUGGGGCUUGACCCCAAUGCGUGCAGUGGAUACUGCGGGACUCGGGAGCGGGGGAGGGAAGAAGUACUUCUGGGGUAGCGGUAAAAUGCGUUGAGCCUAGAAGGACUUCCAGUGGCGAAGGCGUCUUCCUAAAACGCGUCCGACGGUGAGGAACGAAAGCUGGGGGAGCAAAUCGG
rnacentral:rRNA from 1 species